UCCCUGGUGGUGCAUUCGUCCAGGCCGGU
rnacentral:sRNA from 1 species